AUACGGAGGGUGCAAGCGUUAAUCGGAUUUACUGGGCGUAAAGCGCGCGUAGGCGGCUAAUUAAGUCAAAUGUGAAAUCCCCGAGCUUAACUUGGGAAUUGCAUUCGAUACUGGUUAGCUAGAGUGUGGGAGAGGAUGGUAGAAUUCCAGGUGUAGCGGUGAAAUGCGUAGAGAUCUGGAGGAAUACCGAUGGCGAAGGCAGCCAUCUGGCCUAACACUGACGCUGAGGUGCGAAAGCAUGGGGAGCAAACAGGAUUAGAAACCCCAGUAGUCC
rnacentral:rRNA from 1 species